rnacentral:lncRNA from 1 species
AUGAGCCUUUUUGACCCCCAUCUUCAUCAGAGUCUCACCCCAGCAGCUCUGGAAACUCGUGGACUCCUUCUCCCUUGGGUUUUGCGGAAUCCCUCUGUGUAUGAGAAACUGGCAGGAUGGGGUGGUGGGGCCUGGGGGCUAAGAGGCAGCAACCAGCUGGACAAGUGUGAUCCUUAUAAGGGGGGACUCGGUGGGGGGACGCUGAUGCACUCCAGCCCAGGUCAGGCAGGCUCCUCCUGCCAUGCAGGGCAUAUGGAGGCGUCUGGACAUUUGCCCACCAUCCCUGCCUCCCGGGUCUUCCCUUCUUCUUUGGAAAUCCUCAACUUCAGGCCCUGGGGAGGUCAAGUGGGUCCAUGCCCUGUCCAGCGGCUGCCUCCUGCCCCUACAACUCCCCACACUCAGGGUCCUUGGAGACGUUGGGGGCAGAGUCCCAGAGCCAUUCCUCACCCAGGUCCAGGGCCCAGGAUCCGGAGACUGGAGCUCCUGGCCAGUGUAACGCAGGACGUACGUGUGCGGGUGUAUGUGUGUGCAUAUUUUGCUGAUCUCUUUAGGAAAUGUGGGGAUAGGGUCAAAGGUAGUGUGUGGGCAAUGGACAUCCAGUUCAGUAUCAUCCAGCAGCGAAAGGAAUCAGGAGGGCCCCCCAUGGGUGGAAUCUCAGUAUUGUCGAUGGGGAGGACUGGCUCCCCUGGGUGGGGUCUGGCAGAUCGGCUCCUUCCUGACUUCUCUGUCCUUGGUCGUCCACACUGUUGGUGGACUUUCGUGUAUGUCCCACACUUGGGCUCUUCCUGGCAGCGAGGUCACUGCAGAUGGCCGUCCCAAGUUUGGUUUCUAAUCAGUGUUAAACAGGUUGAGACUCUCCCGUGUGUCCAUGUUUGGUUUGUGUGUGCGGGUGAGCACAUCGGCGUGUGCAUGCCGUGUUUCCCCGUUUUCUCUCCUCCCUCUGACAUGCCGUUCAGAACAAAUGUAAGAGAUUCCUUGCCACUGCCUCCCCGCCUCCCCGGCCCUCUGCAGGAGAGACAGAAUAACCCAGCAUCCUCCCCAUCCCCUGGCUGUGUAUUUAUAUAG